GUGUGUUUUUCCCCCUUGGCACUUCAGGUGGGUUAGCUGCCUUGUGUUCAUGAUUCCUUGUCCAUGUCCCUCCCAGCGAGAGAAAGAAACAACAGAAUGAAAUGGUGUGGUCCUCCUGAACUGGAGCUGAAAGCUGACCUGUGAUGGGCCAUCCAGCCCUUUAAAUAAAGCCAUGGGAAAACACUUCUGGUCUGGAGUCAGGCCUGGAUUAGAAGUUACAGGUUGUUACUCUCUUUUUUAAACCAUGCCUAGGGUUGGGUAGGGGUCAGCAACGAGCAGAGGCAAGGGUAGUAGAUUGUCUGACUUUUUGGUUGCCUUGCAAGUGCAAGGUUAUGAUGCAGUGUUCCUGUUCCUGCUGAAAUGUUGUUGGCAGUCUCAGAGAACAAGGAGCCCAGGGGGACAGCCAGGUGGGCAGGCAGAGUCACUUCUGGGAACGGCUUUCACCUGGUCUCAUUUUGGCCAGGUGCUGCCUGUUUUCUCCGGCGUGCCCUUUUUUGCUGCAGCAGGAGGUUGGCUGAGAGUAAUUUUGAAGAAAGGUAUUGUGGAGGUAGAAGCAUUUUUUUUCCCUUUGCAACGUUACAAAAUUUUAUAUUUACCUUUACAAGAUCUGUUUCAGAAGAGAUGGAGCUAUCUGCAAAGAUUUUCGUUUAUGCGAUGUGUUCGUUGUGGUGCAGUGCUGUGGGAGGUUUUGUGCAUGCCUGCAGGGAACACGGAAAGCCAGGUUGAGCCUCCUCAGCAGUGCAGGGGAUGUCAGCAGCUCUUGUUUUUCUCCAAAGACAGAUCAUAAAACUGGUGGCAGCUGCUCACAUUACUCCAUGUUCCGCGUAACAGGGAAUGAUACGAGUGAGAAGACUUCCAUCUUGAGGCAGCGGGGACUUUUCCAACAAAGCUGAAGGGUAAAGGUUGCCCAGCUUUUCUGAGGGCUUCUGAUAGCUCUGUGGUCCUGAAAGCGGGAUGCUGAUGUGGAAAGAGAGUGGCAGGAACUACAUGGACUUGUAUGGAUUUGUGUACAUGCCGCGGUUGUUUUGGCUGGAUAUGUGAUCAUAGAUGUCAGUGCAGUUAUCAGUGAAAGCAAAGCAGUGAUGCUGCUCCUGGGGAUGGGGACUGGCCAUUUGAGUAGUUUUGGAAGACCUCUGAGCAAGCUGAUUGGUAUGCAGGGGAGCAACAAGCUCAGAACAAGAGUGGCUUUUUGCCUUCCCAGUAGUGCCCAUCCUCAUGCUAAAUGUCUUCAGGUCAUCAGGAAAAAGGAAUGUUUUGAUGAGGCUGUGGAUGGGCUGGAAGUAAGAUUGGUGGAGAAGGUGCCACAUCUACCCUCAAUUUCUCUUUGGUUCUCCUUGGUAACGUCCUUCUACCCAAAGUGCCAGCAUGCAUACACUGCGCAUUAACUCUGGGAGUUACGUGUGCUCACAUCUUGCUUGUAUUUCCAGAUGCAGGAACUUUAGGUGGCAGCACAGAAGGCCAGUGACAAAGUUUCUCCUUUGUUGCUGAGUCAGCCCAGAGGUCCCUCAGAGCAAAAUUAUAUAGGUCUGCUAAAUGAGGUCUCACGGUGAGAAUACAGUAACAGCAUUACAGCUUUCAAGUCUUUCUCAUUGAAAGCCCAAACUCUGUAUAUCCACGGGGCAGAUCAUAUUGCUUUCACGCUACCAAGCUUUCAGGACCCAUUCUAAAAUCUGCUUGAAACAGGGCCAGGACAACAUCGUCUCUACCUCUUCUCAAAGGGAAGGAGGGAAGGGCUGAAGUGGCAUAAAGGCACUGUGAGAAACAAAAUUAGGACCGGCAGACCGUGUAAGUGGGGGCUCAUUUAUGCAUCUCUCCAUGAUAAAGAGUCAGCCCCAGUGCUCACUGAGAGCUGAAGCUUGUCUUUUCGAGCAGCAGCCCCUGCAGAGGUUGUAGGCUUCUCAGCUGUGAGCGCUCAUCGUGCUCCGAGAUGCACCUCCUUGCUUCAAAAGCCAUGUCUGGAGCACCAGCCCCAUGGCUGGCUAAUUGCAAAUAAAUGUCAGGAAGGCUGCAGUGGUUGCAGAGCAAUGGCUUUUUGCUCCUUACAGCCUUCGUGUGUGGUAUCGCUGGAGGGCAGGAGCUUUAGCAGCAUCGGCAGGAACCCCUCCUGUCAGCCCCUCCGGUCUGUUUGGGUCCCAGCCGAAAUCUGAGAGAAUCAGUGCAGCCUGACAACAGGGAAAUUUUUUUCCUCAUCUUGAAAUUGAGAUCCUAAUGUGUCCCUUAACAACAGAUGUAGACUCACAUAAUUUAAAAAGGGGAAUUAGUAGCUGUGUAUCCUCUGCCAAUCCAUUUCAGUUCGUUGUUAUAUGUAGAGAGAUUUCACCCUGCUCACUGCCACAGUAAUGUAAAAACCGGUGUCUCAGGAAGCAGUGUUUUUCCCAGUAUUUUUUUUAUAAAUUCUGUGUUCAAAUGAAUUGCUGUUACAGGCAACGUUUAGCAAAUAAACAGAAGCACUGAGCUCAAACAAGGAGCAUCACCUUAUUCCAGGCCUCUGACACAGCCACUCAGUGAGCACGGGGCUUUGUUUCUGUGCAUCAGCGCUGACCAGCUCACUUGAUUUAGGGUGUGUUUUGCAAAAUUAGACUGUUUAUAAAGUUAUAAAUUAGACUGUAUUGCACAAUACAUUGUUUUUCUUACCAUGAUCUUGAUAGUGAGAAGUAUGAACAAUGCAACUUAUUAGACUUGGGUAGGCUCAGAGGGUGUCUUGUGCACAUUUUGCUCAUGGUGUUUCCUCCUUAAAAGGAGGAAAAGAACUGGAACUAGUGUUCAAAGGUUGGGUUUGACUCCAAAUUGGUCUGUGGAGUUGAUCCUCAGGAUGCCUGUCUUUUUCCUUUUCCCACUUGGGGCAGGCAACUCUUAUGUCUGUCGUGCCAUGUAUUCAGCUGGUAUUUAUGGCAUUCAGGUUUCUUCAUCCAGUGGGGAAAAAUGAGGAGGUGAGCAGGAAGGAGAGACAGUAAGGAGAUGUAUCUUCAGUCCUCCUGAAGUACCAGAUUAAAAGAGAAAGCUUUAUGUAGGAAUUACUUCUGUCAAGUUUUAGAAAUCCUGGUACUUCCAGGAAAGGAGGUAACGUUCAACAUUGCACUACUAAUACCCUAUGGAUUAGACAGCAAGUAGAAGAGAACUGCUCUGUCACUGUAGAUAAAAACAAAUAUUUCAAAAUAAGAGCGAUACAGAUAAUCAGAGAGAAAAUUUUAAAGUCAGGUCCACCAUUUACCACAGAGAAGCAUCUCUUUUCUUAAACCACUGUGCUUAUUUUGAAACAAUUGCCCAUAAGCAUUACCAUCACUAUAGCUGUGCUGUCUUUAUAAUGUUGAUUUUUUCCCAGCAUGUUUUGGUAGCUCAGCCUCUUAAUUUAAUAGACUCAAAAAGCUCUUUCCCUGAAGUAAACGUUGUGUUUACUGCAGUCUUUUUAUGCUUCAGAUUGGAUUAGCUCUUCCUGUUCCAUCCCCUAUGCUCCCCAUCCUUUCCCAGCUUGCUUCAUUUUACUCUGUAGGGAAUAAAGUAAGUGUUGUUGUGAUUGGGCCCAUUCAGGGGUUCUUAAGACAUGUUAAAAUAAGUUUUAAGUUGUGUCAAAUAGAAAGUUCAUGUAAAAAUUUUCAGCUUGAGUGCAUUUUGCUAGUGCUUUUCUGUCUUUCUAAAAUGGUUUAUAUACAUUAAAUUUAUGAGAGGUUUAAAGCUUAAAAUGUCUUAAUAUAAGCUAGAGAUGUGAGAGCUUAGAGAAAAUCCUCUCCAAGUUUAUGAGCACAGAAAGAAGUUAAUUAAAGACGAGCAAGAAAAUGCAAAUGCUAGGAAAAAAAGGCACAUUAGGAAAGAAAACAAAUUCAGAAUCAGGCUGUAACUGUAAGUCUCCCUGAAUGAUGUUGGGACAGAUCCAAGUAAAGGCUUUUACCUUACAUUUCUAAGUGAAUAUUUGUUAAUUUUAUGAUUAAAGAAAUAACAUGCCAUUGUGGCAUAUCACCACCCUUCUUUGCCAUAAUCACCCCUUUAAUUUUAGCCUUGCUCAAAAGAUUUUAAUGUACAUCCAGUACACGAUGCUGCAAAUGGUAGUGGAAAAGUGAAAAGGCACGGGGAUUUUGAUCAAGCCAGAAGUAUUCAAGCAGACCUACUGCGGUGUUGCUUUAUUUCUGUGUACCUAUGGCAGUUGUCUCCUUGUGCUCCUCUAUUUCAGUCUUGAUGACCUCAGAAAAGGAGGUACUCUUAUUUCUUAGAAAAGAUGGGUGCAAAUGUAUAAAGCUGUAUGUGGUAUAUUCCCAGUGAGUUGUAUCCAAUUCUCUCUAUUUUUGUAAUUUAAUGUAAUUUGUAUAUCAACAAACCUGGAAGUUGUAACAGUAAAUGUAAAUAUUCAUUUCUAAUGUU